CUCGUAGACUCCUACGGGAGGCAGCAGUGGGGAAUAUUGCACAAUGGGGGAAACCCUGAUGCAGCCAUGCCGCGUGUGUGAAGAAGGCCUUCGGGUUGUAAAGCACUUUCAGUCGUGAGGAAGGUAGUGUAGUUAAUAGCUGCAUUAUUUGACGUUAGCGACAGAAGAAGCACCGGCUAACUCCGUGCCAGCAGCCGCGGUAAUACGGAGGGUGCGAGCGUUAAUCGGAAUUACUGGGCGUAAAGCGCAUGCAGGUGGUUUGUUAAGUCAGAUGUGAAAGCCCCGGGGCUCAACCUCGGAAUAGCAUUUGAAACUGGCAGACUAGAGUACUGUAGAGGGGGUAGAAUUUCAGGUGUAGCGGUGAAAUGCGUAGAGAUCUGAAGGAAUACCGGUGGCGAAGGCGGCCCCCUGGACAGAUACUGACACUCAGAUGCGAAAGCGUGGGGAGCAAACAGGAUUAGAUACCCUGGUAG
rnacentral:rRNA from 1 species